rnacentral:misc_RNA from 1 species
GAUGAAGACGUAGCGAAAUGCGAUAAGUAAUGUGAAUUGCAGAAUUCAGUGAAUCAUCGAAUCUUUGAACGCACAUUGCGCCCGCCAGUAUUCUGGCGGGCAUGCCUGUCCGAGCGUCAUUUCAACCCUCGAACCCCUCCGGGGGGUCGGCGUUGGGGACCUCGGGAGCCCCUAAGACGGGAUCCCGGCCCCGAAAUACAGUGGCGGUCUCGCCGCAGCCUCUCCUGCGCAGUAGUUUGCACAACUCGCACCGGGAGCGCGGCGCGUCCACGUCCGUAAAACACCCAACUUCUGAAAUGUUGACCUCGGAUCAGGUAGGAAUACCCGCUGAACUUAAGCAUAUCAAUAAGCGGAGGA